rnacentral:rRNA from 1 species
AGCGAACGCUGGCGGCAGGCCUAACACAUGCAAGUCGAACGGGCCCUUCGGGGUUAGUGGCGGACGGGUGAGUAACACGUGGGAACGUGCCUUUAGGUUCGGAAUAGCUCCUGGAAACGGGUGGUAAUGCCGAAUGUGCCCUUCGGGGGAAAGAUUUAUCGCCUUUAGAGCGGCCCGCGUCCGAUUAGCUAGUUGGUGAGGUAACGGCUCACCAAGGCGACGAUCAGUAGCUGGUCUGAGAGGAUGACCAGCCACACUGGGCCUGAGACACGGCCCAGACUCCUACGGGAGGCAGCAGUGGGGAAUCUUGCGCAAUGGGCGAAAGCCUGACGCAGCCAUGCCGCGUGAAUGAUGAAGGUCUUAGGAUUGUAAAAUUCUUUCACCGGGGACGAUAAUGACGGUACCCGGAGAAGAAGCCCCGGCUAACUUCGUG